GUGAGGAAUAUUGGUCAAUGGGCGCAAGCCUGAACCAGCCAUGCCGCGUGCAGGAAGACGGUCCUAUGGAUUGUAAACUGCUUUUAUUUGGGAAUAAACUCCGGUACGUGUACCGGCCUGAAGGUACCAAAUGAAUAAGCACCGGCUAACUCCGUGCCAGCAGCCGCGGUAAUACGGAGGGUGCAAGCGUUAUCCGGAAUCAUUGGGUUUAAAGGGUCCGCAGGCGGUCUUAUAAGUCAGUGGUGAAAGCCUACAGCUCAACUGUAGAACUACCAUUGAUACUGUAGGACUUGAAUUCGAUCGAAGUGGGCGGAAUGUGACAUGUAGCGGUGAAAUGCUUAGAUAUGUCACAGAACAACGAUAGCGAAGGCAGCUCACUAGGUCUGGAUUGACGCUCAGGGACGAAAGCGUGGGGAGCAAACAGGAUUAGAAACCCGGGUAGUCC
rnacentral:rRNA from 1 species